GAUUUACAAUUAUUGGUGUACCUUGUUUCCUCCACAUUCUCUCACACUCACACACACACACACACACUUACACAAACCCUUGAUUCGAUUUAAAUCAUGAAUAUUGCUAAUUGAUUUUUGGGGCUUCAUGUGGCGAUUGAUUCAUGGAUGGGAUUAACUGUUGAAUUGCAAAGAGGUUAUGGAAUAUGGCUUGUGAGUUUUUUCUUACUUGAAUUUAAAGUUCUAUUGUAUGAUACUUCAGCAUGUUAUUAAUUUCUAAUUUCUUUUUGGCCCAUCAUGUGCUCGACUAUAUGCUCAAAUGAAUGACACAUAGAACCACCACCACCAACACCAACACCAGCAGUACUUAUCUGGUUUGUGUUGAAAGUCUAAUAGAUUAUUGGAAAAAAAAUUAUAUUAUGAUCUUGAGGAUAAGUUUCAUACAUGUAAUUUGUCUAAAUUGAUGUCUUUAAUCAUAGUAGGAACAAAAGUAGGAUAGUGAGAAAGAUUAAAAUAAUUGAAAAGGCAAAAUAAAAACUUUGAAUAACUCUGAUUAGAUCAACCAGCUCAAUUCAUUUUUAGUGACCAAAAUUAAAGAAAAAGGAAUUUUGACACUUGCGAUAGAAAACUACACCCACAAAAAAUAUACAACAAAACCAGACAAGAGAGCUCAUAUUAUAAAUAUCUGUAUAAAUAAACACCCAUCGGCACCCAAUUGACGAGUUCAUAAGCUGUCGCACUUACAACCCAUACGCAAAAUGAAUCGCAAAUGGAAACUUUUAUUAAGUUACUCUUGAUUUAAGGAAGAAACUAAAUAAGAUGAAACUUAGGCCAAGUUUGGCAACACCAAAAUAAUCCAUCUUUUUAUCUUUUUUUCAUCACAUCACCUCUCUAUUUUUCUGCACAUCUUUUCGUAAAAAGACAAAAAGUACACUUAUUUAGGUCAUCCCAAACAAAUCUUAGUUUCAAGUUGUCUUAUUUUUGAAAGGUAGUGGGCCUCUCAAGUCGUUUCCUCGUAUAUCCUUUGGACAUGUGUCUUGAGCUUUAUUGUAUAUUCCUUCUUCUUUGGUAAUAAAUGCUUACCAUAAAAUAACAAAAAAAGAGAGAAGAAAACACAGAGCUAAGUCUUCAAUCCUCAAGAUACAUUGAAAGUUUUCCAAGGAAGGUACUGACAUUUCUAUUGGUCCAACUCCUAUUGCUGGCUCACAUGAUAUCUCUCGGGAAUAUGUUCAAAUGAGAGUGUAGUAGGCACACAUCCCAUCAUAUCGAAGAUAAGUUUUUCACACAUUUUGAAGUAUUCAUGUAGUGUAAUUAAAAACUGUGGCCUGUGUUUGCUUUUUUAGUAGCACACUGUAGUCUAUAACAUUCUGGUACAAUAGAUUUUAUUAUGGUUUUUGGUUAUGUUUGCUCACAUUAUAUAAAUCCCUUUGUUUAGAGGAGGAAUACAUAUCUAAUAUUUGUCUUAGCUUAAAAGCAUAAUUGUUAAUUUUCUUUUCUAAAAACUUGUUUAUGUUGUCCUGAUUACAUAGUUUAUUGAUUUGCAAUAUGGCUUUAACUACCACUUGGAGUUCAUUGUUGGUUAUACAAAUCUUGUUGGUUAUACAAAUCUGAAGCCAUAUGGGUCUUCAAUCUAUCAACCACGUCUUCAAUCGAUCUCCCCCUCUCUCUCUCACACACACACACACACAAACCCUUGAUUGCUUUGGUUUAGGCCUUGUCAUUCUUCACUUAUUUGAGCAAUCAAUUCAAGUUGAAAAACCUGUAAGGACCUUUCCUUCUGGGGGUAGGAAAAUCAUGAUCGGGAUAGUGGACCAAAAGCUAUGGAAUUUUUUUAUUAGCGGUUCUCUAUAACGUCGUGUGUUCAAUUUUCUAUGAUAUAUAUGUAUCUUUGUUCAAUGAUUAUUUUGUAUUUGAUAGACAAUGGUCUCGUUGGGCAUACAAAACUUGUGCAUAGAAGCUAUUUGAGGAUUUGUCAAAGAGACUAAUACUUCAUUGGCUACAAGGAUUUCCCCUCUUGUUUGUAACAAGAAACCACAAGAAUUUGACAAGUCAGGUGUUUGAAGAUGUUUCCGAGACAACCCAUCAAUCAUGCUGUUGAAAAACUUAUUGUAUACCAUUAGUAUGCAAGUAUAGAACAAUCCAUCUUCUUAGUACCCAAAAGGCAGAAAAAGUAAGUGAAGAAAAAUUUAGAAUUGGUAAUAAAUAAGUCCAAUUAAUUGGUCUGAUUGGUAA